AGUGAACGCUGGCGGUAGGCCUAACACAUGCAAGUCGAGCGGCAGCACAGUAAGAGCUUGCUCUUACAGGGGGCGAGUGGCGGACGGGUGCGGAAUACAUCGGAAUCUACUUUUUCGUGGGGGAUAACGUAGGGAAACUUACGCCAAUACCGCAUACGACCUACGGGUGAAAGCUGGGGAUCUUCGGACCUUGCGCGAUUGAAUGACCCGAUGUCGGAUUAGCUAGUUGGCGGGGUAAAGGCCCACCAAGGCGACGAUCCGUAGCUGGUCUGAGAGGAUGAUCAGCCACACUGGAACUGAGACACGGUCCAGACUCCUACGGGAGGCAGCAGUGGGGAAUAUUGGACAAUGGGCGCAAGCCUGAUCCAGCCAUACCGCGUGGGUGAAGAAGGCCUUCGGGUUGUAAAGCCCUUUUGUUGGGAAAGAAAAGCAGCAGGUUAAUACCCCGCUGUUCUGACGGUACCCAAAGAAUAAGCACCGGCUAACUUCGUG
rnacentral:rRNA from 1 species